AUUGAACGCUGGCGGCAGGCCUAACACAUGCAAGUCGAGCGAGCGGCGGACGGGUGAGUAAUGUAUGGGGACUGCCCGAUAGAGGGGGAUAACUACUGGAAACGGUGUCUAAUACCGCAUACUAUCGGAUAACCCAUAUGGGAUUAGCGAGUAGGUGGGGUAAAGUCUCACCUAGGCGACGAUCUCUAGCUGGUCUGGGAGGAUGAUCCGCCAAACUGGGAUUAGGACACGGCCCAGAUUCCUACGGAGGCAGCAGUGGGGAAUAUUGCACAAUGGGCGCGAGCCUGAUGCAGGCAGGCCGAGUGUAUGAAGAAGGCCUUAGGGGUGUAAAGUAAGUUCAGCGGGGAGGCGUUACCCGCGGAAGAAGCACCGGCUAACGCCGUGCCAGCAGCCGCGGGAAUAC
rnacentral:rRNA from 1 species